CUCCUCCAAAGUCCAGCACCGCCCCUCUGUGCGCCUAGAUUUAUAAGAGCCGCAGAUCCUCGGCACUGGUUUGGCACAAGACUUCCCGAGCAGGACAAGUAACCCUCAAAAUGUAGCCAGUAUCCAGGGCUGCUCACAGCUUUGCUUGUUAACGAAGAUGAAGGUCUUAAAAUGGUUUUACCACAAGCAACUUCCCCUACAUGGAAUAUACCUGUUGUUUUCCCCUGAGGCCUCACACUGCCACUCUGAGGAGUAAAAUGAUAGAUCCAGAGGGUUUACCACAGAUCAUGGGGAGACAAUACAGCAUCUCUUCAGCCAGCUGAUGCCAGGCAUCUUCCUGCGAGGAGUCGCUCCAUUCAGGUAUGGUCUGAUGACCUGCAUGUCGAUCCGUUGCUCCUGGUCGCCAAUGAUCACUGUUCGCCACAGACGACCAGACGAGUCUCGCUCCUCUUCGCUUUCUCCUGGGAGACGCUUGGCAGUGGCCACAGGAGUGUCAUCUGAAAACAAGGUUACACCACAAAGCUGCUGCUCAGACCAUUUAACCUUCUUCUCACAUUUAUAAACAUCAGGUGAAGCCAGCAUGAGG